UACGUAGGGGGCAAGCGUUGUCCGGAAUCAUUGGGCGUAAAGAGCGCGUAGGCGGCCCUGUAAGUCCGCUGUGAAAGUCAAGGGCUCAACCCUCGAAUGCCGGUGGAUACUGCAGGGCUAGAGUCCGGAAGAGGCGAGUGGAAUUCCUGGUGUAGCGGUGAAAUGCGCAGAUAUCAGGAGGAACACCGAUGGCGAAGGCAGCUCGCUGGGACGGUACUGACGCUGAGGCGCGAAAGCGUGGGGAGCAAACAGG
rnacentral:rRNA from 1 species